ensembl:lncRNA
GAGUGUCACACGAAAGAUGCCGAAGCAAAGGCGGACGGUGACGGAAAGGGGCGAAGCUCCGCUCCAGCCGCGGCCUGCGCAGCCCCGGCCUCGCCCACCCGUCCCGGCCGCUCCCGGCGCUCCCAACGCGGCUGUGGCCGCUGGGAAAGGCCGAGGCUUUGGGGCCUGUUCCGGAGGAGACGCAGGGGUGGUGGGGAAGGGGCUGGAGAGGAGCAUAGGGAGUGGAGGAGCAUUUUAGGAGCGAGAAGAGGGAAUUUGAGGGGACAGGAGGAGUUGGGGGCGCAAUUAAGACCCUGAAGGUUGUUGGCAGAGCAGGAGAGGUGUGAGGUUAUAAUUGGGGUAGAAAAGGGGUAUUUGUUUGUGGGACAAUUACAGACAAAGAGGGGGAUUUAGCGGAGCAGGAAAGGGUUUGGGGGGACAAUUGGAGCAGUAAAAGAAUGUUUGAGGGAAGCAGGAGAGUUUUGGAGGGGCAGGAGGGCAUAGUAAGAGGAAAAAAAGGCGAAUGUUGGUGUUUGGAGGAAAACGGUGUUUUGUGGGGAGCACGAGGGCUUGGGGGGGAUUCUGGGGGCAGAGAAGGAGCGGUUUGGGGAGCAGAGCUGGAUUUUGGGGGUCAGGAGUGGGGGGAGUUUCCCCCUUGUCACCAGGGGUGACGCGGGUGUGACAUCUCAGGGUGUCACCGCGCACAGCCGGACACGCCUGACACGGUCUGAGGUACAACCCAACCUGUGCCCUCACCUGGCACAGCCAGACGCUCAACACCCCCACACAGCACAGUGACAACGUGACACGAGGUGGCACGGUGACAACCGAACGCCCCCAUACGCAGAGCAGGGGCUCUGCUGUGGUUGUUGUGGCCCCGGUGGUGGUGUUGUCCCCGCGGUUGUGUCACCGCUUGGUCCCCGUUGUUGUGCUGUGGCACCGUGGUUGUGUUCCUCGCCGCGUGCCCGGCUGUCCCCUUGUGUCACCGGUUGUGACUUCUGCCCCCAGAAGUUUAUCCCCGGUUGUGUCUCCAGUUGUAUCCCCGGUUGUGUCCCCGGUUGUAUCCCCGGUUGUAUCCCCGGUUGUGUCCCCGGUUGUAUCCCCAGCUGUGUCCCCGGUUGUAUGCCCGGUUGUGUCCCCGGUUGUGUCCCCAGCUGUGUCUCCGGUUGUGUCCCCGGUUGUGUCCCCGGUUGUGUCCCUGGUUGUGUCCCCAUCUGUGUCCCCAGCUGUGUCUCCGGUUGUGUCCCCAUCUGUGUCCCCAGCUGUGUCCCCAGUUGUGUCCCCGGUUGUGUCCCCAGUUGUGUCUCCGGCUGUGUGGCACCGUGUCCCCAGCUGUGUCCCCAGCUGUGUCCCCGGUUGUGUCCCCAUCUCUGUCUCCUUGCGUCCUCCACCGUGUCACUGUAGCCCCGAGUUUGUCCCCCGUUCUGUCUGGCGGUGUCACCCAGCUUUGUGUCAGUCGCUCUGUCCCUCCCUGGUGUCCCACCGCACCCCCGCUCGUGUCCCCGGUUGUGACCCCCUGUCCCCCAUGGGGUGUCCCCUGUCCCCUCCGUGUCCCCCCAGCUGCCUGCGCCCCCCGGCUCUACCCCCGGUUGUGUCCCCCACUCCUGUCCCACUGUCCCCACACUUGUCCCCCCAAA